CCUGCAACGAGCGCAACCCCCGUCACUAGUUGCCAUCAUUAAGUUGGGGACUCUAGUGAGACUGCCUACGCAAGUAGAGAGGAAGGUGGGGAUGACGUCAAAUCAUCACGGCCCUUACGCCUUGGGCCACACACGUAAUACAAUGGCCGGUACAGAGGGCAGCUACACAGUGAUGUGAUGCAAAUCUCGAAAGCCGGUCUCACUUCGGAUUGGAGUCUGCAACUCGACUCUAUGAAGCUGGAAUCGCUUGUAAUCGCGCAUCAGCCAUGGCGCGGUGAAUACGUU
rnacentral:rRNA from 1 species